GUGUCAGCCGCCGCGGUAAUACGGGGGGUGCGAGCGUUGUCCGGAAUCACUGGGCGUAAAGGGCGCGUAGGUGGUUUGAUAAGGGUGUGGUGAAAGUCCGGGGCUCAACCCCGGAUCUGCCGUGCCGACUGUCAAACUCGAGGGCUGUAGAGGCAGGCGGAAUUCCGGGUGUAGCGGUGAAUGCGUAGAGAUCCGGAGGAAGACCGGUGGCGAAGGCGGCCUGCUGGGCGGUGGGACUCGCAAGAGUCCUUUUAGCCGACACUGAGGCGCGACAGCGUGGGGAGCAAACAGGAUUAGAUACCCUGGUAGUCC
rnacentral:rRNA from 1 species